GUAAAGAGCUCGUAGGUGGUUUGUCGCGUUGUCCGUGAAAUUCCCUGGCUUAACUGGGGGCGUGCGGGCGAUACGGGCAGACUGGAGUACUGCAGGAGAGACUGGAAUUCCUGGUGUAGCGGUGGAAUGCGCAGAUAUCAGGAGGAACACCGGUGGCGAAGGCGGGUCUCUGGGCAGUAACUGACGCUGAGGAGCGAAAGCGUGGGGAGCGAACAGGAUUAGAUACCCUGGUAGUCCACGCCGUAAACGGUGGGUACUAGGUGUGGGUUUCCUUCCUUGGGAUCCGUGCCGUAGCUAACGCAUUAAGUACCCCGCCUGGGGAGUACGGCCGCAAGGCUAAAACUCAAAGGAAUUGACGGGGGCCCGCACAAGCGGCGGAGCAUGUGGAUUAAUUCGAUGCAACGCGAAGAACCUUACCUGGGUUUGACAUGCACAGGACGCCGGUAGAGAUAUCGGUUCCCUUGUGGCCUGUGUGCAGGUGGUGCAUGGCUGUCGUCAGCUCGUGUCGUGAGAUGCUGGGUUAAGUCCCGCAACGAGCGCAACCCUUGUCUCAUGUUGCCAGCGCGUUAUGGCGGGGACUCGUGAGAGACUGCCGGGGUCAACUCGGAGGAAGGUGGGGAUGACGUCAAGUCAUCAUGCCCCUUAUGUCCAGGGCUUCACACAUGCUACAAUGGCCGGUACAAAGGGCUGCGAUGCCGUGAGGCUUAGCGAAUCCUUGAAAGCCGGUCUCAGUUCGGAUCGGGGUCUGCAACUCGACCCCGUGAAGUCGGA
rnacentral:rRNA from 1 species